GUGGUGGUUGCGUUUCCUGUUUUAAUCUUCUGUCUGUCACUAUUUGCAUCAAGGCCUUCCCCACUCUGCUGUUUUUGUUUCAGGAUGUGACGAUUGUUAACCAGGCUUGAACAAUCUGACUUCCCCUGUGGUCUGAAGCGCUGCCACUCUUCACAGGUGACACUGGCAUGUGCUUGGGUUGGCUUCAGGGCUCUCUGCUAAGCCCUGAAAUCUGCUGAUGUGCUUGUGCUCAUGCUCUUCCUUCAGGGGUUUGCAGUGGCACAUGCUCGGAAUACUCUUUCUAGUGAUUGUCCUGCCUAUUCUUGUUUAUGAGAUGCUUUCCCAAAAGAAUCUUACAACCAGUGUGUCUACUAUGUCCCAUUUCCUUUGGCACUUCAUUGUAAUUUGCAUUAUUCAGACAGAUUUAGGGUUAGGUCUUCCUGUGUGAGAACAGAGCCCUCUUGCUGUCUCAGCAGUGCCCCAUGAUCCCCAGGAGUACCCGAAGAUCUUCUUGCAUGUUUUUCAACUUCAUUUCUCGUGCUGCUCCUGUUUGGGAAUCUCUUUCUCGUCCUCUUUUCUGAUAUCUGUGUGUUCAGAGGCUCCUGGUUAUUGGUGUGUGCCCAGCGGUAGAGCUUCUGCUUGACACUUGCCUGGCGGGAGGGAGAUUGGAGACAGAUGUGCCUUAUUGUUUGAGGGACCACAGAGCUGCAGUAGCUAUCAACUGCCGUGUAACAAGCCACCCAAACCUAGUGCUUAAAACCCCAAUAAACAUUUAUGAUCUCGCUGCUGGAAGUGACAAGGUGUGGUUCCGGCUUGGCGUCUACUGAGGCUGCAGUCAGGCUGUUGGCCAGGGCUGGAGGUUGGCAGGAGCCUCAGUUCUCCCCGAUAUAGCUCCCCUCUGGGAGGAGUGGUCCUGGGGUGUCCCCCAACAUGUGUGGUCAGAGAGAGCAGGGAGGGAGGAAGUUGGCAGUCUUUUUUGAUACCCAGCCAGUUUUGUACCAGGCUCCCUGGUUGCUCAGGUUGGCCUUUGCAGUGGGCGAGAUCAGGAUCCUGCGCCCACAGUUUCCUGGCUCAGCUGGGGAUCAGCUGGCUGUGUAGCCUUUGGGGUGACUGCUGCGCUCAGCUGAUGGCGGCCCUUCUCCACAAGGCCAGGAGGUUAGGCACAGCUCAAGAGAGGUCGUGUAAUGCUCCUGGCUCUUCAAGUCAUAGCUUGGACCUCUUCAUUUGUUUUAGGGGAUUGGAUGUAGUCACUAGAGCCUCAGAGGGAUGUUUCCUUUUAGGAAAGGGCCCCUCCCCCUGCAGAACUCUCAGCCCGUUCCCCCUCCCCAGUACUCCUUCCUAGCCAGAGUGCACUUGUGCGGGCUCCGGGGUCUGCAAGAAAGUGCUCCUCACCUCCACUAGGAAUACCUUUUAAACCCCAAAUGGGCAUGGCACCAUUAGCCAUCUGCCCAGGUUGAAACUCCUCCUCCGUACACCCAAGGCCACAGAAGAAUGUGUGUGUGUGAGGCUGGGGCCAAGAAGGGCUGACCCCAGGGUACCCCAGGACUCUUCCUACUUUCAUCCGCAGUCCAGGGAGCUCCACCAAGGCUGG
rnacentral:lncRNA from 1 species